UUCUCCCUUUCUUUCUUUCAUUCAGAAAGAAAUCACACAAACGCAGCCAAAAAACCCUAGCACUGUAAGCCUACACCACCACCGCAAGGAGUGGCAUACUGCCGCCGUCCGUCCGUCUAUCUAGCUUCCCUCGUGCUUCAGUCUUCAAUCCCUGUUCGCUAUCACCGAUCGCGGCUGCUUCCUCGAGCUCGGCGUCCGUCGUCUUUGUCUGCUCAGCCGCGCUUCCGUCGCCGUUUGUUUGCCGUUCACGUUCGCGUUCUUCGCCGUUCACGUUCGCUCGGCGUUCACUGUUCGCGUUCACUCGCCGUUCACCGUCCGAGUUCGCAUUCGCGUUCGUCUGGAAGCCACGUUGCUCUGCUUCAAACUCUGCGACCAACCCGCGCGCUCCACCUAGCCGUUGAACUGCUCUCUUUUGUCGCCGCAUCUCGUCAAUUUCCAUUGGAAAGAACAAACUGUGGAGUUGGAAACCCUCACCGGCAACGACCAUCCCAAUCCAAACCAUGUUGGGUUUCCGCAAUGCCACGAAUGUUGUUCUCCGCCUUCGUCAAAACCUUUCCGUUUGGGGCGUGCGUGCACAAAAUAUAAACAUAGGAGGUGGUGUUGGAGGUGAAAUCCCUGACCAGAAGCGCCUCCAGUAUGCUCUUCAGCAUAUCCAUGGCAUUGGGCGUUCCAAGGCUCAUCACAUUGUCUGCGAGCUCGGUGUCGAGAACAAAUAUGUUAGAGACCUUAGCAAGAGAGAGUUGUACUCCCUUCGCGAAUUGCUUUCCAAGUACUUGAUUGGGAAUGAUUUGAAAAAAUGUGUUGAAAGAGAUGUGGGGAGGUUGGUGGGCAUUCAGUGCUACAGAGGCAUCAGGCAUGUCGAUGGCUUACCCUGUCGAGGCCAGCGAACUCAUACCAAUGCCCGCACCAGGAAGAGCAGGCCUACUUGGAGGGGAACAAGAUGAAGAUGAAUAUUGCUGCUUGUGAUCAAUCAACAGAUGAGUUGUGUUUUAGUCUUUUAGCUCCGCAUAUAAAAGCUAAUUGAAUAAGUUCUUGUUUUUAUGGCAGUUGAUUAGUAAUAGUUUAUUGUCUUUAAGUUGGUACUGUCAAUCAUUUGUGCUGAUUGCAUAGGUGUUUUUUUCUCUAUUUCCCUAUUUGCCUGAAGAACUAUGAAGCAUCAUGAAGUGGAAUUUGAGUUCCUACCAAUUUAUGAAGAAUUCAACAAAGUUAUGGCAAUUGAAAUUGGUACUGAAUACCCCCAACUGAGGUUGGUUAAACAUAAUCUUGGCUAAUAGACUAUCAAAUGAGGCAGCGGAUGGUGCUAAUUUUGUUUUUAGGUGUUCUAGAUAUUGAAGAACUAUAUUGAGAUCCAUAUAUUCUUGAGCUGUAUGGACACGGUAUAAUAUUUUUUCUAGUGUCAAUAAGUGCAGUUAUUAUUAAAUGAUCGAUCACAUGGAGUAAUAGUAGGGAUCAGUGUGACCAUGAAGUAGAAGUGCCAUGAAGAGCCAUGUAUCACCCAAGGAAAAGAAUGCACUGUUAAAUUCCGUAUUUUGUACUUUAAAGUUUAAACCAUUUGAUAGAACAGAAAUGCUUAUGCGGACACUCCCCAUAGGGGAGUCCAAUAUGAGACAACCGUACAAAUGAUGAGAGGUGUAUAUUUCAGUUUUCAAUGCGGGUCACACUUCCCUUAGUCAUGUGCAACUGCACUCCCUCAACCUUCUCACUAUCUCCUUCACACUUGUGUCAGUCUCGCCCUCACCGCCCCUGUAUCCAUUUCAAAGGAAGACAGAAAUGGUGGAAGAGCACGCCAAGAAGAAGGACAUUAACGACUGUCAUUUCUGUUUUAGAGCAGAAUGCCAACGGAUCCUGCACGAAAUUGACUAAUAUCAGGUAAAUAUGUCUUUUCUAAAGAAAACAACAUUUUGGGGAGGAAAAAGUAGAUGGAGAAAAUCAGCGGAUUAUGUGGUGUAAUAUGUCUGCCUUUGCGCACAUAGAAAACAACAUUUUGGGGAGGAAAAAGUAGAUGGAGAAAAUCAGCGGAUUAUGUGGUGUAAUAUGUCUGCCUUUGCGCAUGAUUUUAUGUGCUCUAAGUCAAAUAUUUUAUGUUUUAAUUUUUCCGACUUGUGAUUGAUUAUGUAAUGUUUUUAUUUAUUUUGGUGUAGGCCUUCUUGUUUGAUGUUC